AUGGCCUCCGUCUACGAGCUCGCCUGCAUCUACUCGGCCGUCAUUCUGCACGACGAUGAGGUGACCGUCACGGAGGAUAAGAUCAAUGCCCUCAUAAAAGCAGCUGGUGUAAAUGUUGAACCUUUCUGGCCUGGCAGACGGGCAGGCCAUGGCGCGGGCGAGUACAGGCUGGCGCUGCCGGCGCGCUGGGGCAGCCGCAGUGGAGGGGCAGGACCUCCUGCUGGAGCAGCACCAGCUGCUGGAGCAGGUCCACCAGCCCCUACAUUGCAGAUGAGGCUCCCGAUGUUGACAUUGGCCAGGGCCUUUGCAAACAACUACGAGCUCGCCUGCAUCUACUCGGCCGUCAUUCUGCACGACGAUGAGGUGACCGUCACGGAGGAUAAGAUCAAUGCCCUCAUAAAAGCAGCUGGUGUAAAUGUUGAACCUUUCUGGCCUGGCUUGUUUGCAAAGGCCCUGGCCAAUGUCAACAUCGGGAGCCUCAUCUGCAAUGUAGGGGCUGGUGGACCUGCUCCAGCAGCUGGUGCUGCUCCAGCAGGAGGUCCUGCCCCCUCCACUGCGGCUGCCCCAGCUGAGGAAAAGAAAGUGGAAGCAAAGAAAGAAGAAUCUGAGCAGUCUGAUGAUGACAUGGGCUUUGGUCUUUUUGACUAAAUCUCUUUUGUAACAUGUUCAAUAAAAUGUAGAACUCUUAAAAAAAAAA